CAUUAGAUGACUGAAAAGCAAGUAAUGGUCUCUUAAACCAAAAUAUAGUAAAUUAGUGGAUACUUCUAAUGA
rnacentral:tRNA from 1 species